rnacentral:lncRNA from 1 species
UAUUUCAAGAAAGAAAAAAAAUAGAAUAAACACAAGAUUCUUCUCCACUAUCCCAAGUCUGACACAGACACACUUGAAACUGUUGGAGACUUAAAUGAAAGAGGAGAAGAAGGCCUGAAGACACAGGAAAAAAUAAUGUACAAAGCAUUUCUAAGUCAGUGAAGCAUGAGGAAUCCAGUGCACAGCAUCUCCGUGAAGAAUGAAGGAAAGAAAGGCACCUCUAAGAAAAUGUCUAUCCUUAAAUUAAACACUAAUGUAUGAUAAAACGUGCAUAGUAGUCUAUAUUCCUGUUUAGACCUGUGGGGUUUGGUGACAUUUGCAUUUACUUUCCUUGAUGCCUAUUAGAAAAUGAUUACCAUGAAAGCAGAUAAUAAUACCUUCUUUGCAUCUCUUUAGAUAUUUAUCUCUGACAAAUAGAAGUAAACCUCAACAAGAUAGAAAUAGAUUAAAUUUUUUUGGUUGUUGUUGACCUGCUUAUUUUACCUAUAUGAAAACUCUAAUUUCUGGACUCAUUUCCAGAAUUUUCCCUUUUAAGUAAUUAUAGAAUGUUCAUGUUAUCCUCAUUUGGACCAAAGCUCAAUAAAGUCAAGUGACUUCUAUGUCCAUACCUAGAAACGGGCUCAAGAGAAACAGACUCUGUUCACUUCUGUCCAUUCCCUAUCUUUUCCCAUCUCUUCUCUCAUUCAUUUCUCACCAGAAUUCUUUUUUUUUCCUUCAGGAAAACAAUCAACCAAAUAAAGAUAAAUCAAACUCAUAUAAAUCAAUGCAAAUGUCCAGUGGAUAUAGUGGGCCAGUUAGCAGGAUAAAGGAUGUGCAGUAAACCCCUUGGCCCGCUGGUCAUGGCUCAUCAGGUUUGCCCACAGCCAGUCUUCGAAUCCUAAUUUAACUAAAUGGGGGUAGUUUAAGUCCUCCUUAAAUGCAAAAGCAAUCACAUAUUUUUUUCAUUCCUUAAUAUAUGUCAGUGACUUCUCAUUGUUUUCUGAUUACGUUAAAACCCCUAAAGAUGUUGACGAAUUUUUUCAUUAACCACUUUCAGUUUUUUCUAGAAAUGGAAAUUGUCCUCUCUACUCUAUAAAAUAUCUAUUUCCUCAGUGCUUU